AUCCUGACUAAUUGGACAGUCAGAUGACAGUUCAGAGUGAGAGUUGAAACAGUUUUGUACUACCUGAUUUUUUGUUUAAAAUCAAAGCAACAUUCUCUUUUCUAUAAAGGAGUAGACUGUUGCUUGUUCUAGGCAUAAUUCACUAGUAUAAGCACAAAAUGCAUGUCAACAGUAACACUGUUCCAAGUUCAUGAAGUUGCAAACAAAAUAUUAGGAUGUUAUCAUUGUACUCACACUCAGUGGCUUAAUUAACUUAGUAGUUUUUACGUGUACGCCAAAACCACGGAGAGGAGUAUGAGAGUCCCUAGCGGGUCCAGGUCAAUUUACUGUGACAAAUUCGCUGC
rnacentral:lncRNA from 1 species